rnacentral:rRNA from 1 species
UACGGGGGGGGCAAGCGUUGUUCGGAAUUACUGGGCGUAAAGGGCUCGUAGGUGGCCAACUAAGUCAGACGUGAAAUCCCUCGGCUUAACCGGGGAACUGCGUCUGAUACUGGAUGGCUUGAGUUUGGGAGAGGGAUGCGGAAUUCCAGGUGUAGCGGUGAAAUGCGUAGAUAUCUGGAGGAACACCGGUGGCGAAGGCGGCAUCCUGGACCGGUAUUGACGCUGAGGCGCGAAAGCCAGGGGAGCAAACGGG